AUACUUACCUGGCAGGGGCGAUACACUGAUAACCCUAGGCAUGCUGACUUGCUGUUUCUCCAAAUAUAGGGAACUUAACUGUAUAAUUUGUGAUAAAGAGGAUUAGGGCUUUGCUUUUUCCUCU
ensembl:snRNA U1 U1 spliceosomal RNA